UUUGUACUCCCUUCGUUCCAAAAUUCUUGUCUUAAAUUUGUCUAAAUACGGAUGUAUCUAGUUACAUUUUAGUGUUAGAUACAUCUGUAUCUAAACAAAUGUAAGACAAGAAUUUUGGGACGGAGGGAAUACUAC
rnacentral:pre_miRNA from 1 species